rnacentral:rRNA from 1 species
AUGCAUUGCAACAAAUCACCAACCUUGCCCUUCAAGCUUGACAUCAAGAAAAAGGUUGACUCGGUGAGAUGGGAUUUCCUCAUUGACAUGUUGCGUCACAAUGGCUUCCCUUCCCUAGUCGCUUUCGAGAUUGGGUUUCGACACUCCUCUCCUCGUCCUCUUAGGAUGUUGCUAAAUGGGUUUACUGGGGAGCCGAUUGGAGGAAGAACCCCUCUCCCCCAGCUUUUUGUCCUUGCCAUCGACCCGCUCCACCACAUCCUCGGCAAGGCAACGACACAAGGGAAGCUGCACCUUGUUGGAGGAAGAACCCCCCUACUAACCCUGUUGAUGAAGUGGCGAUUGCCCCGGCCAAGGAUGAAAUUCAGUUUCUCGCUUUCACCCUGCUCUCUUUCGGCGAGGACACUGGAUUGA